AACUUUCAGCAACGGAUCACUUGGCUCUCGCAUCGAUGAAGAACGCCGCGAAAUGCGAUAAGUAAUGUGAAUUGCAGAAUUCAGUGAAUCAUCGAAUCUUUGAACGCACCUUGCGCCCUUUGGCUAUUCUGAAGGGCAUGCCUGUUUGAGUAUCAUGAACACCUCAACUCUCAUGGUCCGCCAUGAUGAGCUUGGACUUUGGGGGUCUUGCCGGCCCAGUGUCGGCUCCUCUCAAAUGGAUCAGCUUGCCAGUGUUUGGUGGCGUCACAGGUGUGAUAACUAUCUACGCUUGUGGUUUUCUGCCAUAUAACCUUCAGUGAUGGAGGUUCUCUGGAGCUCACAGAUGUCUCUCCUUGGGGAGGACAGCUUUUGAACGUUUGAUCUCAAAUCAGGUAGGACUACCCGCUGAACUUAAGCAUAUCAAUAAGCGGAGGC
rnacentral:misc_RNA from 1 species